rnacentral:rRNA from 1 species
UAUUAUAUGCUGAUGUUAAAGAUUAAGCCAUGCAUGUGUAAGUAUAAAGUCCAAGAAGGAUGAAACUGCGAACGGCUCAUUAAAACAGUUAUAGUUUCUUUGGUUAGUAAAAAUUAAAAGGAUAACUUUGUGAAUGACAAAGAUAAUACUUGAGACGAUCCUUAAAUUUAAGAGUUUAAGGCUUAUUUUUUUUAUUUUAAAAAAAAAUAAAGGAAUGAUAUAUAUUAAGAAAAAAUAUAUCAAGACAAUUGUAGAAUACUUUAAAGUAUUUAACAAGUAACCAAUGAAAAUAUCUGACCUAUCAACUUGUUGGUAAGAUAGAGGCUUACGAAGGUUAUAACGGGUAACGAGGAAUUAGGGUUUGACAUCGGAGAGGGAGCUUUAAAGAUGGCUACCACUUCUAAGGAAGGCAGCAGGCGCGUAAAUUACCCACUUCUGACAUGGAGAGGUAGUGACGACAAAUAACUCUAUAUUUUAAUUUAAAUUAAAAUAUUGAAGGAAUGAGUAAGACAUAAAACAUCUUACAAAAGCAAUUGGAGGGCAAGUCUGGUGCCAGCAGCCGCGGUAAUUCCAGCUCCAAUAGUGUAUAUUAAAGUUGUUGUGAUUAAAACGCUCGUAGUUGAAAUUAAUAAUUAAAAAUCAGAAUUUAAAAAAUAAAUUUUGUUUUUUCAAAAUUUAUUUAUUUUUAAAUUCAAAUUUAAAAUGAUUUUUUAAAUGAAGGAAAAAAAAAUAAUUAAUUUUAUUUUUUUUAUUUACUUUGAAAAAAAUAGAGUGUUUAAAGCAAAACAUUUUAUGUUAAUGAAUAAUGAAGCAUGGGAUAAUAAUGAGGAGAUUUUAUUAAUUUAAAAUUUCGAGAAAAAGAUUAAAAGGAAUAAUCGGGGUGAUUUAGAAAGAAACGGGAGAGGUGAAAAUUCAUGAUCGUUUUAAGAUAAACUAGAGCGAAAGCAUUUUACUCAAUUAUAUUCAUUAAUCAAGAACGAAAGUUAGGGGAUCGAAGACGAUUAGAUACCGUCGUAGUCCUAACUAUAAACGAUGUCAACCAAGGAUUGGAUAAAUUUAAAUAAAAAAAUUAAUAUUUAAUUAUCUUCUGGAUAAUUUUAUUUAUUAAAAUUUUUAUAAACUACCUUAUUCAGAACUUGAAGAGAAAUCUUGAGUUUAUGGACUUCAGGGGGAGUAUGGUCACAAGGCUGAAACUUAAAGGAAUUGACGGAAGGGCACACCAGGAGUGGAGCCUGCGGCUUAAUUUGACUCAACACGGGAAAACUUACCAAGACCGAACAGUAUAAGGAAUGACAGAUUAAGAGUUCUUUCAUGAUUUAUUGGGGAGUGGUGCAUGGCCGUUCUUAGUUGGUGGAGUGAUUUGUCAGGUUAAUUCCGGUAACGAACGAGACUUAAACCUAUUAAUUAGUUUUUAAUCUAAAAGAUUAAAAUAAUAGAAAUAUUACAUGUAAUAAUUUUUACAUGACUUCUUAAAGGGACACAUUUCAAUCUUUUAAGAAUAUUUUAAUUAUAAAUUAAAUUUUUUUAUUUAAUUUAAAUAAAAUAUUUUUAAAAAAAGAAAAAGGAAGCAUUAAGCAAUAACAGGUCUGUGAUGCCCUUAGACAUCUUGGGCUGCACGCGCGCUACAAUGGGGAUACUAAAGAGUAAUUAAUAUUUUGAAUUUUUAUUAUUUUAAUUAGUUAUGCUAAUUAAAUUUUAAAAAUUUAUAUUAUACCAAAUUUGAAAAAAGGAGGAAAACUCAAAAGAUCAAACAUGACAGGGAUUAAUGAUUGGAAUUAUUUGUUAUGAACGAGGAAUUCCUUGUAAUAUUAAGUCAUUAACUUAAGAUGAAUACGUCCCUGCCCUUUGUACACACCGCCCGUCGCUCCUACCGAUUGAAUAAAGAGGUGAAAUUCUAGGAUAAAUUUAAAAAUUUAUUUUUAAAUUUAAAAUGGAUUUAAAUCUCCUUAUUUAGAGGAAGGAGAAGUCGUAACAAGGUUUCC